rnacentral:rRNA from 1 species
UACGUAGGGGGCUAGCGUUGUCCGGAUUUAUUGGGCGUAAAGAGCGUGUAGGCGGCCAGGUAGGUCUGCUGUGAAAACUCGAGGCUCAACCUCGAGACGUCGGCGGAAACCAUCUGGCUAGAGUCCGGAAGAGGAGAGUGGAAUUCCUGGUGUAGCGGUGAAAUGCGCAGAUAUCAGGAAGAACACCCGUGGCGAAGGCGGCAUCCUGGACCGGCAUUGACGCUGAGGAGCGAAAGCUAGGGGAGCAAACGGG